rnacentral:rRNA from 1 species
CCUACGGGAGGCAGCAGUGGGGAAUUUUGGACAAUGGGCGAAAGCCUGAUCCAGCCAUGCCGCGUGCAGGAUGAAGGCCUUCGGGUUGUAAACUGCUUUUGUACGGAACGAAAAGGUCUUUUCUAAUAAAGAAGGCUCAUGACGGUACCGUAAGAAUAAGCACCGGCUAACUACGUGCCAGCAGCCGCGGUAAUACGUAGGGUGCGAGCGUUAAUCGGAAUUACUGGGCGUAAAGCGUGCGCAGGCGGUUAUAUAAGACAGUUGUGAAAUCCCCGGGCUCAACCUGGGAACUGCAUCUGUGACUGUAUAGCUAGAGUACGGUAGAGGGGGAUGGAAUUCCGCGUGUAGCAGUGAAAUGCGUAGAUAUGCGGAGGAACACCGAUGGCGAAGGCAAUCCCCUGGACCUGUACUGACGCUCAUGCACGAAAGCGUGGGGAGCAAACAGGAUUAGAUACCCUGGUAGUCCACGCCCUAAACGAUGUCAACUGGUUGUUGGGUCUUCACUGACUCAGUAACGAAGCUAACGCGUGAAGUUGACCGCCUGGGGGAGGACGGCGCGAGUAGACGUACGAAGAAGUAGACGCGNGAGAGAGCGACGACGACGACGAGGGAGGAGG